CGGUGGUACUAAGCGUACGACAAGUAGGGCGGGACACGUGAAAUCCUGUCUGAAGAUGGGGGGACCAUCCUCCAAGGCUAAAUACUCGUAAUCGACCGAUAGUGAACCAGUACCGUGAGGGAAAGGCGAAAAGAACCCCGGGAGGGGAGUGAAAUAGAUCCUGAAACCGUGUGCAUACAAACAGUCGGAGCCUCUUCGUGGGGUGACGGCGUACCUUUUGUAUAAUGGGUCAGCGACUUACAUUCAGUGGCGAGGUUAACCAGAUCGGGGAGCCGUAGAGAAAUCGAGUCCGAACAGGGCGACAGUCGCUGGGUGUAGACCCGAAACCAGGUGAUCUACCCAUGGCCAGGAUGAAGGUGCGGUAACACGCCCUGGAGGUCCGAACCCACUAAUGUUGAAAAAUUAGGGGAUGAGCUGUGGGUAGGGGUGAAAGGCUAAACAAACCUGGAAAUAGCUGGUUCUCUCCGAAAACUAUUUAGGUAGUGCCUCAAGUAUCACCAUCGGGGGUAGAGCACUGUUAUGGCUAGGGGGUCAUUGCGACUUACCAAACCAUUGCAAACUCCGAAUACCGAUGAGUGCGAGCUUGGGAGACAGACGUCGGGUGCUAACGUCCGGCGUCAAGAGGGAAACAACCCAGACCGCCAGCUAAGGUCCCAAAGAUUGGCUAAGUGGAAAACGAAGUGGGAAGGCUAAAACAGUCAGGAUGUUGGCUUAGAAGCAGCCAUCAUUUAAAGAAAGCGUAAUAGCUCACUGAUCGAGUCGUCCUGCGCGGAAGAUGUAACGGGGCUAAGCCAGUCACCGAAGCUGCGGAUAU
rnacentral:rRNA from 1 species